CGCGUAGGUAAUCUACCCUUAUAUUUGGGAUAACAUUGGGAAACUGGUGCUAAUACCGAAUGGUCUUCAUUUCUGUUAGGGAGAUGGAGUAAAGGUGGCCUCUUCAUGAAAGCUACCGUGUAGGGAUGAGCCUGCGUACCAUCAGCUAGUAGGUGGGGUAAUGGCCCACCUAGGCUACGAUGGUUAGCGGGUCUGAGAGGAUGAUCCGCCACACUGGAACUGGAACACGGACCAG
rnacentral:rRNA from 1 species